UUGGCAUUGCGAGUGGAAAAAACUGAGCUGCACUUUCAGCACUUUCAGAUGCUUCAUGAAAUUGGACCCUCACCUGGAGUCUAUUUUGGUCUCUUGCAGGUUGAAACCAGGCGAAAGGGGUGUUCAAGAGGAAAAAUUGGCCAAUACCAAGUGUUAUUGACAACACCCACAGCCUGUAAAAUUGCAGAGAGACCAUCUUGGAUUCAUCAGAACCACUGCAAGAAAGUAGAGCUUGAAGCCCAGACCACUAGAGAUGCACAAGUGUAAGGGGAGUUUCCCCCGGGUGUCAGUAAAGUCCGGUGGUGAGGGAGGAGUGCUGAUUGAGCUCAGCUCGCACUCUCAUUCUCUCUAGCCAUUGACCAACUUUAGGCUCACUGAUACAUUUGGGUGUGACCAACCUCAAGCAUGAAGUGUUCUCAGGUGGUAACUGGCGUCUCUGUUCAUCACACUAUCAACCCUGGAAGAUGGAAGAAAACAAUACACGAGCCAAGAAAAGAGAUGGACGAUGCCUGAUACAGAUACGUGUUUAACAAAACCACAGAGAAAGACUGUUACGUCUGCUCGCACAUGCCAAGCAUAUUGACACAACCAUAUAUGGGAAACAUCCUGGAACAAGUGCACUAAUUCUGAUCUCCGAUCACACCUUGAGAAUGACUUUUGUAAAGUGCACAACAUCAUCAUCGUCAACCAGGAAGAAACGCUCCACUUCAACACUCAGACCACAUGACUCAAUUUGGGAAACCGACAUACCUGAAGAAUUCAAACUCUGGACAACUGGACAAAAGGUACUCAACUCACUCUUCCUGUGGGCAGGAGUUGGAAAACGUGCUCUCAGAAGUGAGAUACUGGACUAUAGAUUCGGCUUGUUUCUCAAAGCAUCCUGGAAGGUCAACGAAGGACAAAACCAAGAAAUAGACGCUCUCAGAACUGCUGUAAUGCAACAUCGUGUAGAACCUCACAUGAUCCUGGCUGAGAAAGGAGGAUUGUGUGUCUUAUUCAAUACCACAUGCUGCACUUACAUAUCAGAUAAUGUACAUUCUUCAGACAUGACUUCAGAUUUUAAAGAGAUUGUUGAUUGUCGUUGGACUUUUCCUGAUUUUAUUUUAUUUUUCUUUAUUUGAGUUAUUCCUUGUUUAGAAGCUGUAAUUUCACAGAUGAUAAGUUUAUCAUUCGCAGCAUACGCAGAUGUACUGAAAUCAAUGAAGAUCAUGAAGACUUCUUUUCCUAUUUGUUAGAUAAAGAUGAAGUGUAACUAAUGAUGUAGUAACUGAGAAUGUGAAAGACAAGUAGUUACUCACUGA